UCCCAGCACCACAAGUGGUAAUCACGAUUAUUGGGUCUAAAGCGUCCGUAGUCGGUUUUGUAAGUCUUUUGUCAAAUUGUAACACAUAACGUUGCUUUCGCAAAAGAUACUGCAAGACUAGGGAUUGGAGAGAGGUUGGAGGUAUUUAUUGGGGAGCGGUAAAAUGUGAUAAUCCAAUAAGGACCACCUGUGGCGAAGGCGUCCAACCAGAACAACUCCGACGAUGAGGGACGAAAGCUAGGGGAGCGAA
rnacentral:rRNA from 1 species